rnacentral:rRNA from 1 species
UACGUAGGGGCAAGCGUUGUCCGGAUUUAUUGGGCGUAAAGAGCGUGUAGGCGGUUAGGUAGGUCCGUUGUGAAAACUCGAGGCUCAACCUCGAGACGCCGAUGGAAACCAUCUAACUAGAGUCCGGAAGAGGAGAAUGGAAUUCCUGGUGUAGCGGUGAAAUGCGCAGAUAUCAGGAAGAACACCCGUGGCUAAGGCGGUUCUCUAGUACGGUACUGACGCUGAGACGCGAAAGCGUGGGAGCGAACAGG